rnacentral:lncRNA from 1 species
GCAUGCUAAAUAGUAAAAUAAAUUUCUUUUUCAAUAUAUUUGUAUCAGGGAUACUAUAAUCUUACUAGAGAUUACAAUUGAAAUUGGGAUGAUGAGUUGAACAAUCUUGGGUUACAAAAGAUUCAUGACUGGGAGAGGGAGGAAAGAAAUUGGUGCAGCGUUGGCACAAGCAGGUAUUAUGGAGACAAAUGUUAUCGGCAUCAUCUCCGCAGUUCAGAUGGCAAUCUCCAGGUGUCUGGCAAGGUUGUUCAGGAGCUGCAUUGCCUGUAACCCAUAUUCAUUAGACUUAAUGAACAACUGAAAGUAGUAACAGUUUAACAUACAAUUUAAUAGCUAGCCCUACUUUUGGAUAAUAGUGGGAAAAUAUGCUAAAUUAUUUUGUCAAAUAGGUAAGAUAUAUAUAUAUAUAUAUAUAUAUAUAUUAAAAUGUAUUUAGAGGGUUUUCUUGACUAAAACAUGAAUUAAAAUUAAUUGUAUUUUUUAAAUGAAUUAAAUAAAUAUAAAUUUAAAAUUGAAUUAUAAUUAAUUAAAAUUUUCUUUCUUACCUUUCCAAAGGAGCAAGAGGGUGAAUACCAUGACCACUUUUAAGGAACUCAUAUUCAUCUUCUUUAGAAAAUACUUUGGUGACUAUAUGAUAAUUC